rnacentral:tRNA from 1 species
AAAAAUUUAGUUAAAUUUAUAACAUUAGUUUGUCAAACUAAAAUCAUUAUAUAAUAUAAUAAUUUUUA